rnacentral:rRNA from 1 species
UACGGAGGGUGCAAGCGUUAUCCGGAUUCACUGGGUUUAAAGGGUGCGUAGGUGGAUCGGUAAGUCCGUGGUGAAAUCCCUGAGCUUAACUCAGGAACUGCCGUGGAUACUAUCGAUCUUGAAUGCCGUGGAGGUAAGCGGAAUAUGUCAUGUAGCGGUGAAAUGCUUAGAUAUGACAUAGAACACCAAUUGCGAAGGCAGCUGGCUACACGAGCAUUGACACUCAGGCACGAAAGCGUGGGGAUCAAACAGG